rnacentral:lncRNA from 1 species
UCACAGAAUUGAAAACUGGGUGGGGGGUGUCCAAACAGAAAGAAUGUUACUUGCUCGAGGCAAGGGUGGGAGAGUUUGAUCAGUGUUGUGACAAAAAAUGAGGUCUUCAGAGCCUGGUGUCAAAGCUCAGAGAAGAGGAGAAAUGGGCUGCAUGCCAUGAGCAGGGCCAUUUGGACUGGGGAGUGAAGGAGAAGUAAUUGAUGAGGCAAAAGGAAGGCAAGCAAAAAGAGCAGUGCGGACGGACAUGAACAGCUGGCUGCACCCUGACCGGGGUCAAAGGGGACAUUCCAGUGGCAGGAGUCAGGAAGAAUAUGCAAAGGGGGGGUCCUGCUUUCAGAUGGUUGCGAUGUAUCCAGGGAGAAUGUCCAGCCACCUUCACCGCCAAGGGAGUUGACAGAACAACAGGAGCCGGUCCCUUCUAACGAGGUUCCAGGGUCUUGGAAUCAAACCUGCGAAUAAAAACCAAAUCUCCCGGCCUAUGGGAUAAAGGUUGUAGAGGUUUUUCAUUUGGACUAGUCAUUUUCUUUUAUAAUGUCUCAUGUAGCUCUGACUGAAGCUGAUGAACUGCUUUUAAGGAUUUAAGGAGUCGAAGGUGGGAAAACUUUUCUUUAAUUCUACAUCUAUUAAUGGGAUGAUUGGGGGAGAUCACCCAUAAACAAUCUGGAAGGGGGACAAAUUGAG